UGUUAAGUCAGAUGUGAAAUCCCCGAGCUUCACUUGGGAACUGCAUUUGAAACUGGCAAGCUAGAGUCUUGUAGAGGGGGGUAGAAUUCCAGGUGUAGCGGUGAAAUGCGUAGAGAUCUGGAGGAAUACCGGUGGCGAAGGCGGCCCCCUGGACAAAGACUGACGCUCAGGUGCGAAAGCGUGGGGAGCAAACAGGAUUAGAUACCCUGGUAGUCCACGCUGUAAACGAUGUCGAUUUGGAGGUUGUGCCCUUGAGGCGUGGCUUCCGGAGCUAACGCGUUAAAUCGACCGCCUGGGGAGUACGGCCGCAAGGUUAAAACUCAAAUAAAUUGACGGG
rnacentral:rRNA from 1 species